rnacentral:rRNA from 1 species
UGGGGAAUAUUGCACAAUGGGCGCAAGCCUGAUGCAGCCAUGCCGCGUGUAUGAAGAAGGCCUUCGGGUUGUAAAGUACUUUCAGCGGGGAGGAAGGCGAUAAGGUUAAUAACCUUGUCGAUUGACGUUACCCGCAGAAGAAGCACCGGCUAACUCCGUGCCAGCAGCCGCGGUAAUACGGAGGGUGCAAGCGUUAAACGGAAUUACUGGGCGUAAAGCGCACGCAGGCGGUCUGUCAAGUCGGAUGUGAAAUCCCCGGGCUCAACCUGGGAACUGCAUUCGAAACUGGCAGGCUAGAGUCUUGUAGAGGGGGGUAGAAUUCCAGGUGUAGCGGUGAAAUGCGUAGAGAUCUGGAGGAAUACCGGUGGCGAAGGCGGCCCCCUGGACAAAGACUGACGCUCAGGUGCGAAAGCGUGGGGAGCAAACA